ACCUCUUCUCACUCCCGUGCUUACCAAAGGCAUGCGGUAAAAGCAAGCAUGCGCUAACUAUUUUAAAACCACUUCUCACUCCGGCUUUUACCAAAGGUAUGCAGUAAAAAUUUGAGUGGGAUGUAAGCUUGGACCGUAAAUCCUACAGAAUAUCUCUUAAUCUUCUUCCCUUUAUGCGAUUUCAAAUUACCGGUAUUGAAAUCAGCCUCCUCCAUUUUGAAAAUGAUGACAGGGGAAGUGUCACUCGUGACGUCACUAGGGUUGGGUAUCAAGUAUCGAUUGGAACCGGGACUAACGUUCCGAUUCUCCCGGAAUCGUUCAAAAGUUUAAAUUUCGAUUCCUAGUUUUGAUACCCAGUCCGCCGACUGGAAAAAAAGAAUAAGCCCGCCGACCGAAAGAAGAAGCCGCAGAACACCAACGAAGAAGCGCCCACCGCCGGAAGUGUUAGCAAAGCCAAGCCUAUGUAGCCGAGCAAGUCAGUCAAGCAUGGAUAGCGGGCGUCGGCGGUCGAAAGUGUGGCUUUAUUUUUACUAAAAAAAAUGAAAUAUCGGCGAAAUGUAACACGUGCGAAGGGACUGUUUCGUGCUUAGGAGGGUGCACGUCGAACAUGAUAAAGCACCUCCGAGUUCAUGGAGUACAAAUAAAUGCGUGUCCCGUCUUCGACCCGCUGCGCUGAACGUCCUCCUCUGCCUCUUCCUCUGGCUCCGGCUCCGACGCCCAGCCUGGCACCUCCGUGACUGCACUGCAGUCCAAAUCCGACAAUUUACAACCUGCUAGCCAGGCUCCGCGAUGUGCUCAGCAUACUCCGUUCACCGUAGCAGCAAUGGUGAAGAUGUCGGUGCCACAGACGGAAGAGUGCCACAGAGAGGUCACUGCACACAUAGUCAAAAGACUGCAUCCCUUUUCAGAGGUGGAAUCUACAACAUUUAGGGAUAUGGUGAAAACUCUCAACCCAAAAUACAUACCACCUUCCAGGGGACUACCUGGCAAACACAUUGAUCCCGGCAUGGUACAAGAAGAAUCGGAAUCGAGAAUCAUCAGGAAUCGGAAUCGAAACAAAGAAUCAGAAUCGUUUGAAUUCAAACAAUACCCAACCCUAGACGUCACGAGGUAAUACUAAGCAUGCGCUAAUUAUUUUGCGAAGAGAGUUUGACCCGGCAGUAAUUCAGGACAGGCCCAUACUAUGUGCCCUGCGGCAAUUCAAGGAAAUACGGUAUAUAUAUAUAUAUAUAUUUUUUUGUCUUUUGGUUCGGGACCCUUUAGGACUGUGUGACAAGGGGUGGCACUUUUGUGACCGCUGCGGUGCUUUUUUGUAGACUUCUGGAUCUGCCUCCCGGGAGCCUUUUGGCCAUGGAGACCAGCUGCUGUGUCUCUGCCACACCAGAGUCAGUUUGGAGAGACUGGAGGAAACGCUGAUAAAGAGACAGGGCUGCAGAGCUGGCAAUGAGCGCCGGGACGGACAAAAUUCAGUGUCUUGGCUGAAUGAGCAGGUAUCGGACACCUCAGUCUUCUUGGACGUAUCCUACUCAUCCAUGCGGACUGGACACUGGCCAAGAGUUGGUUGGCGAUCGAGAGUGGAGUCGGCUCUCUUGGUUGCUUUGUUGCGUCUGCUCCUGUCUCUGGCCAUGCUCUCUACACCCCAGCAGAUGACGGCGUGGAACACCGCAGAGGCCACCACAGUGUAUAUUUUUAUUUUACUUUUUAUUCAUAGCUGUAUGUAGAAGUGGCUGGUUGCAUCAACUCCGCUACUUUAAUGUCUAUCAUGUCCUUUGUGUUUUUUUAAAGUUUGAGGUUUCCCUCUUACACACAUGUAAGAGGGAUGUGUACUAUGGCUAUGAGUUGUUUUUUUCCCUUGGCCUCAGUCUGGACCCCCUCUCUAGGGGCCCAGGUUUAGACCGAUUAUUUUAAAUGUUAUUUUAUUUUAAUCUUUUAUUUUUUUCUCCCAUUCCCCCCUACUUGUUUACCUGUAUCUCACCUUUUUUGUAAGGGGCGCCGGAAGUUGGCAGACCCGUCAGCGAUCCUGUUCUGUCUCCCUGUAAUGUUUGUCUGAUCUUGAAUGGGAUUGUGCUGAAAAUUUUAAUUUCCGCUCGGGGAUUAAUAAAGUGUGUCUGACUCUGA